AUUGGAGAUAUGCAGAUUUUUUCCUCAAGGUAGACUGCUCGCACGUGCAAGAGGCAGCUUUGGCAGCCGGUGUUGAGAGAAUCACACUGAAGCCUUGAAGCUUAAGAAGAAGAGGAUCGGACAGUGUUCCCUGCAGCGGGGUGAUGGACAGUUAAGACCGCUACGAUGACCGACGACUCCUUCACUGGCCCCUCCACCAAGCUGUCCUUCCAUCUGGCAGCCAUCCGCGUGAUCAACCUGCCCCAUACCCUCUAUAACUCCCUCUCACAGGUGAGCCUCAGUACAGGCACUA